rnacentral:rRNA from 1 species
AUUGAACGCUGGCGGCAGGCCUAACACAUGCAAGUCGAGCGGGGUUUUCGGACCUAGCGGCGGACGGGUGAGUAAUGCGUAGGAAGCUGCCCGAUAGAGGGGGAUACCAGUUGGAAGCGACUGUUAAUACCGCAUAAUGUCUACGGACCAAGGUGUGGACCUUCGGGCCACAUGCUAUCGGAUGCGCCUACGUGGGAUUAGCUAGUUGGUGAGGUAAUGGCUCACCAAGGCGACGAUCUCUAGCUGGCUUGAGAGGAUGAUCAGCCACACUGGAACUGAGACACGGUCCAGACUCCUACGGGAGGCAGCAGUGGGGAAUAUUGGACAAUGGGCGCAAGCCUGAUCCAGCCAUGCCGCGUGUGUGAAGAAGGCCUUCGGGUUGUAAAGCACUUUCAGCGAGGAGGAAGGGUGGUGUGUUAAUAGCACAUCAUUUUGACGUUACUCGCAGAAGAAGCACCGGCUAACUCUGUGCCAGCAGCCGCAGUAAUAC